rnacentral:rRNA from 1 species
CCUACGGGUGGCAGCAGUGGGGAAUAUUGGUCAAUGGGCGCAAGCCUGACCCAGCAACGCCGCGUGAAGGAAGAAGGCUUUCGGGUGGUAAACUUCUUUUGUCAGGGAAGAGUAGAAGACGGUACCUGACGAAUAAGCCACGGCUAACUACGUGCCAGCAGCCGCGGUAAUACGUAGGUGGCAAGCGUUGUCCGGAUUUACUGGGUGUAAGGGGCGUGUAGCCGGGUUGACAAGUCAGAUGUGAAAACCUGCGGCUUAACGGCAGAACUGCAUUUGAAACUGUUGAUCUUGAGUACUGGAGAGGCAGACGGAAUGCCUAGUGUAGCGGUGAAAUGCGUAGAUAUUAGGAGGAACACCAGUGGCGAAGGCGGUCUGCGGGACAGCAACUGACGGUGAGGCGCGAAAGCGUGGGGAGCAAACAGGAUUAGAUACCCUUGUAGUC